AAGGUCCCCACAAACCGAUUUUCCACCAUCCUUAUGGGGACAUUUUUAUGGAAACAUCUAUCUGGUUCUCACAAAGGUAGCAAACUGUGCACACACACAUAAAGACACACACACACAUAAAGACACACACACACACACUUACUUACACAUCUCUCAGCAAUUUGCUCCAGCUUCUGCUUUUAUUUCCCUCCCAGAAGAGCACCGAUAUGAAGACCUCUUUCAGAACAGAGUGAGUGAAGUGGAACAGGUUUUUCAGGCCUCCUGACCAACAACUGCAGAUGAAGCAGAUAAAUAAACAAGUUUUCUCUGCUUCCAUGAAGAGACUGACGCCAGCGCCGCUGAUAACGAGCGUCUGAAGAAUUCACCAACACAUUUCAGAGCUUUUCGUGAGCAUAGCUUCGUUCUUUAUGUUCCUCUCUCAUAUCUUACAUCAAAACUUUACGACCUGCUGGCUGCAGAAUGGUGUGUGAGGUGUGUGAGAUGUAUAGAAUGUGUGUAAAAUGUGUGAAAAGUCAUUUAAUCUGCAAAAAACCUAUAGAACUCAUUUUUUUAAUUGUAUUUAUGCAGAAUACAUCAAACAUAGUAACUAAAAACUAAGGAAAUAGUGCAAAAAAAGCCCAAAAGUCAUCGUACAAAAGUGCUUGCACACUUCUAGUUGAAUUUAUAUUGUAUAAUCUUUCACAAUUAAAAAAGUAAAAUAUUGAAAUGUCAGGAAUAAAAAGAUACUGCAAUUAAAUUGUUUGGCGGAAAAAAACAAAUACAAAACAUAACAAUUGUCUAAAAGUCUAAAUACAGAAAUAGAAAAUACAGCAUUUAAUAUUGCAGAUAAAAAGAUUUCGGAUGACGAUUUAAGAAUAUCAAAAGAGCUUAAUUAUUUGUUAGUGAUAAAAAUACUAAAAAUAAUACAAAAACAAGAAAAAAUUAUAAGAUUAGAAUAAUAUAGAAUUGUUGGCCAUAGAUCCACCACUAUAUGAAAUUUAGCUGUGCUGUAGUUUACUGUAAAGCACUAAAUAUUAUACACUAAAAACAGCAAUAAAUACUAGAGGUAAAAACUCACAAAGUCGAAGCCGAAUAUCAAAAUGUCAAACAAAAUACAAAACGUAGCAUUUGUCUAAAUAAAGAAUUAGCAGAAUUAAUAGUUUUUACAAGACAAAAAAAAAUAUUUCUUAUCUUCCAAAGGCACUCAAUGUAAAAAUAUAUAUUUUAUUUUAAUUUUUUAAAUAUGGAACUGUUUGCAAGAGAAUCGCUGUUGUGACAGUGAGCAAGGCCACCAUCUACUGAAAAUACAACCUAACAUAUAGAAAUACAGCUUUAAUUAUUAGAGAGAAAAAAUUAACCACAAUAAAUAUUUCUGGUCAAAAUGAUGACUAAAAAUUUACAAAAUUAAGCAUAAGCAUUUUCAUUUUUUUGCUACAUUUUGUUAAGUAUACUAAAUGUUUUAUCCUGUUUUUUUUUUUU